GACAGAGGGUGCAAACGUUGUUCGGAAUUACUGGGCGUAAAGCGCGUGUAGGCGGUUCGGUAAGUCGGAUGUGAAAGCCCCGGGCUCGACCCGGGAAGUGCACUCGAUACUGCCGAGCUAGAGUAUCGGAGAGGUUGGUGGAAUUCUCGGUGUAGAGGUGAAAUUCGUAGAUAUCGAGAGGAACACCGGUGGCGAAGGCGGCCAACUGGACGAAUACUGACGCUGAUGCUCGAAAGCUAGGGGAGCAAACAGG
rnacentral:rRNA from 1 species